GCAGAGGUCAAGGGCAGCGCCCGCGAGCCCCGGGGCCCUAGGGAGCGGACGAGAGCACAGGGCCCCUCAAGGAGAAGGCGUCCUCGGACUCACAAACGCUCCCUCCACUGGUCGGCCCGCUUCCGGUCCUGCCAGCGGAAGCGGCGCCGCGUCCAAUCGGGUCCUUCUCCCCUUUACAGGCUCGCGCGCGGGGGGCCCGGCAGCACUGGGGAUCGGCGCGCGCGCACUGCGGCGUGCACUCUGACCCGGAGACGACCCCUCCCUCCGCGUGAACAUGGCGCUGUCCAGGGUGUGCUGGGCUCGGGCUGCUCUUUGGGGCUCGGCCGUCGCCCCUGGACCCUUUGUCACCCGGCGGGUGCAGCUGGGUCGCUCUGGUUCUGCGUGGCGGGCCCCUCGGUCUUCAAAGCUUCAUCUCUCUCCCAAGGCAGACGUGAAGAAUUUGAUUUCUUAUGUGGCGACCAAGACAAGAGCGAUUAAUGGAACAUACCAUCGUUUCUUGGGUCGUCAUUUCCCCCGCUUCUAUGCCUUAUACACAGUCUUCAUGAAAGGAAUACAGAUGUUAUGGGCUGAUGCCAAAAAGGCUAGAAGAAUAAAGGCAAACAUGUGGAAGCACAGUGUAAAGUUUCAUCAACUCUCUUACCGGGAGAUGGAGCAUUUGAGACAGUUCCGUCGCGAUGUCACCAAGUGUCUUUUCGUAGGUGUCAUUUCCAUCCCACCCUUUGCCAACUACUUGGUCUUCCUGCUGAUGUAUCUGUUUCCUAGGCAACUGCUUGUCAAGCAUUUCUGGACCCCCAAACAACAAAUUGAUUUCUUAGACAUAUAUCACAGUCUCCGGAAGCAGUCCCACUCAGAAAUCAUUGCUUAUCUAAAGAGGGCCAGCGCACUUGUUUCGGAUGAGAGGCUUCGGUGGCAUCUGACAGACGUGUGCACCAAGGUGCAGAACGGUACCCACCCAACAGCCCAUGACAUCCUUGCUCUCAGAGAGUGCUUCUCAACUUAUCCCCUGGGCUUGAAUCAACUCCAGGCUCCGCAAAUGUUCUCCCUCCUCUGCUGUGUCACAGAAAGCCUUGAGCCGGGCCAUGCUCCUGACGCCGUACCUGCCUCUGCCCUUGUUGAGAUGGCGCCUAAAGAGCCACACCACAGUGAUUCACCAGCUGGACAGGGCUCUGGCAAAGCUGGGGAUUGGCCAGCUGACUGCUCAGGAGGUGAAAUCGGCUUGCUAUCUUCGUGGCUUGAAUUCUACCCACAUUGCUGAUGACAGGUGUCGGGCUUGGUUGGGAGAAUGGUUGCAGAUUUCCUGCAGCCUAAAAGAAGCUGAGCUGUCCCUCUUGCUGCACAACGUGGUCCUGCUUUCCACCAACCACCUUGAGACAAGGCGCUGAGUGAACCAUGGAGAGAAUGACGUUGUCCUGCAGUCACAUAGUAUUGUAGUGUGGGACCAAACCGCAGUUGGCAGCAGUCUGCACUAGUGUGGGAGGCAGAGGAACAGGUUCCAUAGGCUUUGAAGCACGCUACCCAUCUGGGAGGCACAGACAUUCCCUCACAGCUUGAACUAAACCGCGUGUGCUGCCAUCCCACCAUGCUAACCUGGAGCUGGCAAGCACCUCUGAUACUGGACUUUUAUUGUGAUGUGAUGUUUAGGUCCUGUUAACAGUUUUUGCGCAGGUGAGAAUCAUCUGACCUAAAAUCCAUGACUGCCAUGGUUUGUUCUUAAAUUUUUAUUUUUUCUGACAUAAGUCUAUGUUGCCCAGGCUGGCUUCAAAUUUCUGUGCUCAAGGGAUCCUCCCACCUCAGGCUUCUGGGUGCUAGGACUCAGGUCCAUAGCACACCGGCCUCACUGCCGCGGUCUGUACAGCCGUGAGGGGUUUGUGUGACGGUCUCAUAACUGAUGACUGUGAAGUCCUGCUCUUCCUGCUCCCACCUCCCAGGGCGGGGAUACAGGAUGAAGAACCACACAGAGCCUGUGAGGCGUUAGGAACUGACCAAGGGCUUUGCUGUGCCAGGCAAGUGCUGUCCACUCAGCCUUUCUGGGUGCCAGAAGCCCUGCUGCCCAGACUGGAGCACUAACACCUGGGCCCGCACCUGGACACCCUGCCAGUCUUUUCCUCACCCUUUUUCUUUUUUUUCUUUUUUGGCCUUUUUGAGACAGAGUCUCACUGUAUAGCCCAGGCUGGCCUGGAAUUCACUAUAUAGCCCAGGUUGGCUUUCAGUUCCUGGCAAUCCUGAAAAUUCUGCCACAGCACCUGGGUACUAGGAUUACAGGCGUGAGCCACUUUUUGAUGUGACCAAAAGUAGGGACACUUUCCCCUUUGCUGGCACGGACUGUUCACCCUCUUCCUGUUCAUAUUCUCUCAACACUUGCUUUUCUUUGUUUUGUUUAUUUAUUUUUGUUUGUUUGCUUUUAUGGGAACAUCCUAAAGGAGGUGAGAAGCUGAAGGACGGCUGCUGCCCUCCCUCCAGUGUCUUAAUUCUCAGGCUGUCACAGUCCCUGAGGACCUUACGUGUUUGCUACCUCCACUGUGUUGCACUAAACCAUCUGUAGCCAGCAGUGGCUGCCUUCUUUAGGUCAUGGGUCGUAAGAUACUUAUUACUGCCUAGUCCUGGGAGACCAGGGGAUCUGCAUCAAGAUAGUAAGCUGGGUUUGGCUGUCGUGUGUACAUCUAUAACUUACUGUAAAUGCAUGAAGCAUUGUUUUUAAACCCAAGUAAAGACUGCCUGAAACCA